AACGAACGCUGGCGGCAUGCCUAACACAUGCAAGUCGAACGAGACCUUCGGGUCUAGUGGCGCACGGGUGCGUAACGCGUGGGAACCUGCCCUUAGGUUCGGAAUAACUCCCCGAAAGGGGUGCUAAUACAGGAUAAUGUCUUCGGACCAAAGAUUUUUGGCCUUUGGUUGGGCCGUCGUUGGAUUGGUAGGUUGGUGGGGAAAAAGCCAACCAAGGGGACGUCCCAUAGCUGGUCUGAGAGGAUGUUCAACCACACUGGGACGAAGACACGGCCCAGACUCCUACGGGAGGCAGCAGUGGGGAAUAUUGGACAAUGGGCGAAAGCCUGAUCCAGCAAUGCCGCGUGAGUGAUGAAGGCCUUAGGGUUGUAAAGCUCUUUUACCCGGGAUGAUAAUGACAGUACCGGGAGAAUAAGCUCCGGCUAACUCCGUG
rnacentral:rRNA from 1 species